rnacentral:misc_RNA from 1 species
GAAAUGCGAUAAGUAAUGUGAAUUGCAGAAUUCAGUGAAUCAUCGAAUCUUUGAACGCACAUUGCGCCCGCCAGUAUUCUGGCGGGCAUGCCUGUUCGAGCGUCAUUUCAACCAUCAAGCCCCCGGCUUGUGUUGGGGACCUGCGGCUGCCCGCCGGCCCUGAAAAACAGUGGCGGGCUCGCUGUCACACCGAGCGUAGUAGCAUACAUUCUCGCUCAGGGCGUGCUGCGGGUUCCGGCCGUUAAACGACCUUCAUAACCCAAGGUUGACCUCGGAUCAGGUAGGAAGACCCGCUGAACUUAAGC